CCCGCACAAGCGGUGGAGCAUGUGGUUUAAUUCGAAGCAACGCGAAGAACCUUACCAGGUCUUGACAUCCCACUGACCGGCAUGGAGACAUGCCUUUCCCUUCGGGGACAGUGGUGACAGGUGGUGCAUGGUUGUCGUCAGCUCGUGUCGUGAGAUGUUGGGUUAAGUCCCGCAACGAGCGCAACCCUUAAUCUUAGUUGCCAUCAUUCAGUUGGGCACUCUAAGGUGACUGCCGGUGACAAACCGGAGGAAGGUGGGGAUGACGUCAAAUCAUCAUGCCCCUUAUGACCUGGGCUACACACGUGCUACAAUGGACGGUACAGAGGGCUGCAAACCCGCGAGGGGGAGCCAAUCCCAGAAAACCGUUCCCAGUUCGGAUUGUAGGCUGCAACUCGCCUGCAUGAAGCCGGAAUCGCUAGUAAUCG
rnacentral:rRNA from 1 species